rnacentral:ncRNA from 1 species
UAUCUGGUUGAUCCUGCCAGUAGUCAUAUGCUUGUUUCAAAGAUUAAGCCAUGCAUGUCAAAGUAUAAGCACUUGUACUGUGAAACUGCGAAUGGCUCAUUAAAUCAGUUAUCGUUUAUUUGAUUGUACCUUUACUACUUGGAUAACCNGUGGUAAUUCUAGAGCUAAUACAUGCGAAAAGUCCCGACUUCUGGAAGGGAUGUAUUAUC